rfam:Myotis lucifugus cont2.31868, whole genome shotgun sequence.
ACUGGGUGGGAGGGUCCUUCUGCCUGGAUUGCAAGAGGGUGCAGGCCAGGCAGAGGGACCCCACCUGUGCAUG